rnacentral:SRP_RNA from 1 species
GGCGGGCCUCCCCGCAUUGCAAGGUGGUGAAUCUGGUCAGGUCCGGAAGGAAGCAGCCAUAACUACUGAUUGCAAGUGCCGGGGUCAGGGCUCGCCUCC